GAUGAAGAACGCAGCGAAAUGCGAUAAGUAGUGUGAAUUGCAGAAUUCAGUGAAUCAUCGAAUCUUUGAACGCACAUUGCGCCCCUCGGUAUUCCGUGGGGCAUGCCUGUUCGAGCGUCAUUUACCCCUCAAGCACUGCUUGGUGUUGGGCGUCUGUCCCGCUUCGCGCGCGGACUCGCCCCAAAGGUAUUGGCAGCGAUCGUGCCAGCUUCUCGCGCAGCACAUUGCGCUUCUCGAGGCGGUCGAUCGGCGUCCACGAAGCUCACCUCCACCGUUUGACCUCGGAUCAGGUAGGGAUACCCGCUGAACUUAAGCAUAUCAAUAAGCGGAGGA
rnacentral:misc_RNA from 1 species